rnacentral:lncRNA from 1 species
GAAAUAUUUUUUAGAUUAAAAAUAUAAUAAGGCUAAAAAAUAUUGAAAUUGUUAUGGUUUUAAAAUUAAAGGUAUUUUAAGAAAUAUUUUAAAUCAAAGAGGAUAAAAUUGUCAAAUUUAAAACCCAGUAGUCCACUAGCUCUUCUUCCGGUGGAAUUCAGCCCCUUUGUGUGGGCCAAAUGACCUAAUCGCACCAUGUCUAUGGUAUCCAAACACUUGGAUUGGGAUAGACUAAGUCCCUGGUGCCCUGCCUUUCUUAGUAAGCUAAGCCUCUAAUCCAGCCUUGUAUUUGAAAGAAGUCCCAGGGGGUAGAAUAGUAAUAAGCAAGCUCACGCUCAUGCCCUACCUUGUCUCCGUAAGCUAACUUGCAAACCUUUCUUUUUACCCAACUUAGGAUAAAACUCACCCGUAACCUGCAUUGUGUCCUUAAUCAAGUGAGAACCCUACACGUGCUAGCGAACCCGCUAUCAAGUCGGCCUAUGAGCCAACCAAUGAGGCAACGAGCAAACCCUUUUUUCUUGGGUGAUAGAAAGCUAGCCCCUACCAGCAAGUAAGCGUGCUAGAUCUAUUUAAGUUUAAGUUUAAAUGAAAGAACCUAAAAAAGGAAUUUUUUUCAUUUCAGUCAGUCACCUGGUGCUAUUUUAAAAGGAUGGAGUAAGAAAGUAGAAUAAGCACAGUUAGCAAGAUCCCCUGCUAUUUCAGCUGCCGUUGAAGGAAGAACCGAUGUUCUUGCUCGAGUUGAAGAAGUGGAUGCUGAGAGUGAGAUUAAAGUAAAAAGUAGCAUAAACGCACUAAACUGAUGGUUUAGUGAAAUCCAAACAGGCUCUAAGAGAUGAUAUAUCGUAGAUUUAGGAAUCAAAUUUGAACACCUAAAAUCAUUUUUUUUUUAUUUUCAAGUUGCAGGCUCUUUAUAAAAAAAUAUAGUUCAUUCAUAACUUAAUCUCAGCCUAACCAUUUUUAAGUGUUUUAAAGGUCUAUUUGGAAUGGAAGUAAAAUUGAAAAUAGUGAUGAAGG